UGAACGCUGGCGGCAAGCCUAACACAUGCAAGUCCACCGGAAGCGAAAAGGAAGCUUGCUUUCUUGUCGGCGAGCGGCAAACGGGUGAGUAAUAUCUGGGAAUCUACCCAAAAGAGGGGGAUAACUACUAGAAAUGGUAGCUAAUACCGCAUAAAGUCGAAAGACCAAAGUGGGGGACUUUAAUAAGCCUCAUGCUUUUGGAUGAGUCCAGACGAGAUUAGCUUGUUGGCAAGGUAAAAGCUUACCAAGGCUACGAUCUCUAGCUGGUCUGAGAGGAUAACCAGCCACACUGGAACUGAGACACGGUCCACACUCCUACGGGAGGCAGCAGUGGGGAAUAUUGCACAAUGGGCCAAAGCCUGAUGCAGCUAUGCCGCGUGUAUGAAGAAGGCCUUAGGGUUGUAAAGUACUUUCCGCGGGGAGGAAAGGAAUAAAACUAAUAAUUUUAUUUUUUGACGUUACCCGAAGAAGAAGCACCGGCUAACUCCGUGCCCCCAGCCGCGGUAAUACGGAGGGUGCUAGCGUUAAUCAGAAUUACUGGGCGUAAAGAGCACGUACGUGGUUUUUUAAGUCAUAUGUGAAAUUCCUGUGUUUAACCUAUGAACUGCUUUUGAACACUGAAAUGCUUAGAGUAUCGUAGAGGGAGGUAGAAUUCUAGGUGUAGCGGUGAAAAUGCGUAGAUAUCUGGAGGAGUACCUGUGGCGAAAGCGGCCUCCUAAACGAAUACUGACACUGAGGUGCGAAAGCGUGGGGAGCAAACAGGAUUAGAUACCCUGGUAGUCCAUGCCGUAAACGAUGUCGACUUGGAGGUUGUUUCCAUGAGAAGUGACUUCCGAAGCUAACGCAUUAAGUCGACCGCCUGGGGAGUACGGCCGCAAGGCUAAAACUCAAAUGAAUUGACGGGGGCCCGCACAAGCGGUGGAGCAUGUGGUUUAAUUCGGUGCAACGCGAAAAACCUUACCUGGUCUUGACAUCCACAGAAUUCCUUAGAAAUAAGGAAGUGCCUUCGGGAGCUGUGAGACAGGUGCUGCAUGGCUGUCGUCAGCUCGUGUUGUGAAAUGUUGGGUUAAGUCCCGCAACGAGCGCAACCCUUAUCCCCUGUUGCCAUCGGUUCGGCCGGGAACUCAGAGGAGACUGCCGGUUAUAAACCGGAGGAAGGUGGGGACGACGUCAAGUCAUCAUGGCCCUUACGACCAGGGCUACACACGUGCUACAAUGGUUUAUACAAAGAGAAGCAAAUCUGUAAAGACAAGCAAACCUCACAAAGUAAAUCGUAGUCCGGACUGGAGUCUGCAACUCGACUCCACGAAGUCGGAAUCGCUAGUAAUCGUGGAUCAGAAUGCCACGGUGAAUACGUUCCCGGGCCUUGUACACACCGCCCGUCACACCAUGGGAGUGGGUUGCAAAAGAAGCAGAUAGCCCAACCUUUUAAAGGAAGGCGUCUACCACUUUGUGAUUCAU
rnacentral:rRNA from 1 species